rnacentral:rRNA from 1 species
UACAGAGGUCUCAAGCGUUGUUCGGAUUCAUUGGGCGUAAAGGGUGCGUAGGUGGCAGGGUAAGUCGGAUGUGAAAUCCCGGGGCUCAACCUCGGAACUGCAUUCGAUACUGCUUUGCUUGAGUACUGGAGAGGAGAUUGGAAUUUACGGUGUAGCAGUGAAAUGCGUAGAUAUCGUAAGGAAGACCAGUGGCGAAGGCGGAUCUCUGGACAGUUCCUGACGCUGAGGCACGAAGGUCAGGGGAGCAAACGGG